rnacentral:rRNA from 1 species
CCUACGGGAGGCAGCAGUAGGGAAUCUUCCGCCCCCGACGAAAGUCUGACGGAGCAACGCCGCGUGAGUGAUGAAGGUUUUCGGAUCGUAAAGCUCUGUUGUUAGGGAAGAACAAGUGCGAGAGUAACUGCUCGCACCUUGACGGUACCUAACCAGAAAGCCACGGCUAACUAUGUGCCAGCAGCCGCGGUAAUACGUAGGUGGCAAGCGUUGUCCGGAAUUAUUGGGCGUAAAGGGCUCGCAGGCGGUUUCUUAAGUCUGAUGUGAAAGCCCCCGGCUCAACCGGGGAGGGUCAUUGGAAACUGGGAAACUUGAGUGCAGAAGAGGAGAGUGGAAUUCCACGUGUAGCGGUGAAAUGCGUAGAGAUGUGGAGGAACACCAGUGGCGAAGGCGACUCUCUGGUCUGUAACUGACGCUAGACCAAAGCGUGGGGAGCGAACAGGAUUAGAUACCCUGGUAGUC